rfam:Oryza glumipatula chromosome 7, whole genome shotgun sequence.
UUUAAAUGCAGUCAUGGGUUUUCGUGUCCAACUUUCAUCGAUCGUUUAAUUUGAUUUUUUAUGAUUAGUAUUUUUAAUUAUUAUUAGAUGAUAAAACAUGAAUGAUACUUUAUGUGUAACUUAUAUUUUUAAUUUUUUUAAAAAAAAUUAAAUAAGAUGAUGAUUAGAAUUGGACAUGGAAACUCAUGACUACGCUUAAA